GGCAGGGCUGGCCUUGGGGAGACAGACUGGUGUAGCCCAGCCAGCACAGCGCUGAGCUCAGCAAGGGCUAUGUUAUAAUCCAGUUCUCAGACUGGCCACGACUUCAAAUGCAAGGCAGGGCUGACAGAAGCAGAGGGCGACUCCAGGAGCCUGGUGGGCCAAGGCUGCGGGCAGCUGGGAAUGAAUGGGGCCCUGCCCUCCCCCCGCUCCAAGGCCAGCGGUGUGCGGGAGCGGCGCACGGUCCGUGCUUGGCCGCCCCCAGGAGCGGCCUUGAACGAAAUGCUGCGACCAUUCGUGAAUUAACGUUCUGUUAUUACUUGGUGCUUAGCCUGGUGUGCUCCCGUCCUGUUGGGACUCCAGGAGGAACCAUUGGCCCUGCUGGACGGGAGGAAAAACUGAGCACCCAAACUGCAGCCUUGGAGCCUUUGGGGUGGAACUGGAGGAUCACAGCUGAAAAAGAAUUACUGGUUUGAAUUGCUAAUAAUGAUACAGACUAAUGAGCAACAUCAGAAAUGAUGGCAUGUGUAAUCAGUGCUGCUUGAUAGCAAACGUGCAGCAGGUCUGCAGGAGCUCCUGGUGCACGAGGUGAGGAGAAGCAGAGCAUCUUGUGUUUUGGAGAGGCAGAACCCAACCCAGAGAGCUGGCUCUGUCUCUGGGGUAAGAACUUUAUAAACAAUGAUGAAAAGGAUAAACCUAGACAGACAUCAGCUCUGGGUAGUAGGAGGGAACAGGGCCAGCCAGUAUGAGGGGAAAUUGCCUCGGUAUUCUCCUGAGCACCUGCAGGAAGCCCAUCUGUCUCUGGCUGUUAGAGGUUUUGUCCUAGAGCUGCACCCUGGCAGCCCCCGCUCAGGAUCAGGCCCUGGCCGGGUGGCCGGAGCCCCACACUCGCUCUGCCCACCUGCCUGUUCCUCCUGCCCAAGCAGCUCUGCUCCCAUCCGCUGCACUCUGUGCACAAAGAGGACCCUGAAUUUUUGCACAGGUGUGUGGCAGAGGGGAAGAAUGUCCACAGAAUGUGGAUCUGCACCUUGUACCUGCCUUAUAAAUGGGUAAAUCACAAACAAAGUACACGGUACUAAAGAACUGCUAUCUUGGCUUUAAAAGGCAGUGGUUGCAUCUUGUUUCUUUUGGUUGGAAACCCUUUUUCUUUUCUCAUCCCUGUGAUAUGCCCCGAGCAGCCAAGAAGAGGCAGCAGUUAGAAACAUUUCCUGCUUUCCUUAUUUAGGCUAUUUUAUGUGGUUCAAAUAAGGUGUCCUCUUUCAAACUGACAAAGGGAAAGAUGUAUCAGUUCACGAACUGCUGCUAUCUGAGCAAGGUGGGAGAUAGAAAAUCACCACCAUUACAAUCAUUACUGCAAAUCAUGUGCAAUCAGCCCGGUAACAGAAAGCAGAUGAACAUCCUGCAGAAACCUACAGGACAGGAGCUGGUGCUGAGCUAUGGGAGCCACAAGCCAGGCAACGAUUAAAAUGCUUUUAAUAUGGG